GCCUCCGUGCCCCUUUCCGCUCUCAUUCGAACCCUCCUCAGCCCUCUGUGGCUGCGGAUUAGAACGAGCAACUACAUGCCCACUGUUUGGUUGCUCGUGGCAACGAUUGCUUAGUUACUCGUAGGUGUGGACGGAGGGAAAAGAGAACGAGAGAGGAGGGGGGCUUUGUGGCGCCAUUUCCGGAACUAUGCUAAACAAUGAACAAAGGGAGGGGGGAAAGGAGAGGCAAGGAACGGUGCGCAGGCGCAGCGGAGCGGAGAAGGUGAGGACGACGCCAGAGAGAGAGGACUUGUGUUAGGUCUGUAGGAGACGUCGGCGUGGGAGCUUGCGCACGCGUACAAGUAGUUCAUGGUGAUGUCGCUGUUGAUCUCCCUGAGCAAACAAAAAUGAACCUAAUCUUGGCAACAUGUGCGUUUGUCAGUGCUGGAGAGCCCUCUUUGCCCCGUGCUCGUUGUUCUGUUCCCUCUGGAGAGCAGUCACUUGUGUGGCAUUUGCUUCACUCUGAUCUUUCUCUUUUAUUCUGUUCAAUCUAGAUUAGGGUUAAAAAAAAAAGCUGUAUGUGGUUCCUGCGCAAAUGCUCUUCACAGAUGCCAUUUGUGGUUUUUUUGUAAUGCCUACCCAGACAAUAACUGGACAGAACUGUAUUACUCUUGCAACACAUUUCCUUUUCUUGUGAAAUUGGCUUGAGAAAAAAAAAGAAGAUGUUUCAUUUGGUUUGGAAUCGGCAUCUAAAGCUAAUGAGUCGCAUCAUGGUUUCUGAUGUGUAUUUAAAGCUGCUUUUUGCAAGAAGCUUUGCCCUUGCACGGACAACAUGGAUGUCAAUGCACUCUCUUGUUGGAGACAAGAAUAUUGUCCUGAUGGGACCUCCUGGUGCUGGGAAAACAACAGUGGGGAAAAUUGUAGGGCAGAAACUAGGCUCUUGCUUCAUAGAUGUGGACGAUGAUGUCCUUGAAAAAACCUGGAAUAUGAGCGUGGCUGAAAAAUUGAAGGAUGUUGGCAAUGAGCAAUUUUUAGAAGAGGAAGGAAAGGCCUUGUUAAAUCUUUCAACGUCUGGAAAUGUAGUUUCCCUUACUGGGUCUAAUCCAUUGAAUACUGCCAGCAUGGAGCAUGUGAAGAAAAAUGGGAUUGUGGUAUAUCUGGAUGUACCUUCUGAAAGCAUAAUAGAUCGACUGCAGUUAAUGAAAGUGGACCGUAUUGUGGGGCAGGGUCCUGGAACUUCAUUGAGAGACAUCCUCCAGUAUAGAAAGCAGUUUUACAAGAAGUGGUAUGACGUCCGUGUACUUUGUGAAAACGGGGUUACAGCGGACGAUGUAGCAGAGAAAGUGCUUCAUGCAGUUAAGCGGUAUCAAGACUCUUACUCGGAUGGCUUCAUUUCAACCAGGAGUCUAAGGUGCAAUAAGGAUGAGCAAAAAAGCUCCAUUAAAUAUUUCAGUGAUGUUGUUGUUGAGGGACUGGCGCCUGAUGGUGGACUCUUUGUACCUGAGAUAGGACUUCCAAAAUUUACCCCAGGGGAAUGGCAACAUUUAUUAGCGGCAACCUAUGCUGAAAGAGCUCAGAUUAUAUUGGAAAGGUGCAUACAUCCCACUGAUGUUCCUGCUUCCAAAUUGUGGGAAAUUAUUGAGACUGCAUAUGGACAAAAUUUUACGUGUUCUAAAAUUGCCCCAGUUAGGCAUCUGGCAGGCAAUCAGUUUCUUCUGGAGCUGUUUCAUGGACCGACAGCUUCAUUUAAGGAUUUGGCUUUGCAAUUAAUGCCUCAGCUGUUUGCGUACUGUGUUCCCAAAAGCUGCAACUAUUUGAUCUUGGUAGCUACUUCUGGUGACACAGGAAGUGCAGUUUUGGAUGGUUUUAGUCGGCUUAAGGAAGCAGAUAAACAAAGGAUUGCUGUGAUCACCUUCUUUCCCCAAGAUGGAAUUAGUCAGAUACAGAAAUCACAGAUGAUUGGUUACCAGGAAGGAAAUACAAAAGUAGUAGGGGUCAAGUCUGAUUUUGAUUUUUGCCAGUCUGCCAUCAAACAAAUGUUUACCAAUUCAGAUUAUACUGGCUUUCUCACAGUGGAAUAUGGAGCAGCAUUAAGUGCGGCAAAUUCUAUAAACUGGGCGCGCUUGCUUCCCCAGGUGGUUUAUCAUGCCUCUGCUUACCUUAACCUUGUUGAGCAGGACAUCAUUUCUUUUGGGAGCCCUGUAGAUGUCUGCAUUCCAACAGGGAACUUUGGCAACAUAUUAGCUGCUAUCUAUGCAAAAAUGAUGGGAAUCCCUAUACGAAAAUUUAUCUGUGCUUCCAAUCAAAAUAACGUCUUGACUGAAUUUAUAAAAACAGGCUUGUAUGAUAUAAAAGGGAGGAAAUUAAUGAAAAGUUUGUCACCAGCAGUAGAUAUUUUGAAGUCUUCCAACCUGGAGCGACAUUUGCACCUGAUUGCUAAUGGCGAUGGGCAGCUGGUGAUGCAACUGUUUAGCAGUUUGGAGAAUCAGCACUACUUCCAGUUACAGAGACACUUCCUUGAAAAGCUUCAGCAGGACUUGGUGGCUGAUUGGUGCUCUGAGGAGGAGUGUCUGGAUGCUAUUCGCUCUGUGUUCAAUACCACAGGGUACAUUUUGGACACACACACAGCUGUUGCAAAAGUGGUUGCAGAUCGACUGCAAGAUAAAACUUGCCCGGUGAUCAUUUCUUCUACUGCUCAUUAUUCCAAGUUUGCACCUGCUAUCCUGCAGGCACUGAGGAUUGGAGAAAUAAAGCAGACUCCAUUAAGUCAGCUUCACUUGUUAAACUCUUAUAACCCUUUGCCUCCAGUCCACAGGGGCCUAUUAGAGACACUGAAAAAGAAUGAGAAACAGAACUAUCAGGUCUGUGCUGCUGAUGUGAAAGUCCUUAUGGAACAUGUUGAAGCCUUAAUACAGAACCACUUCAUGAAGGUUUUCUAACUGUUGGCUUGCUUGCCCUUUGCUGCCUGUGCUGUUUUGAAUAUUUUUCCCCUCCUCACCCACUCACCACAAAAAAAACGGUUUUAAUAAAUGCAUAUAUACCAUAAAAUAGUCAUGUGAACAAGUUCAGAAUCUAGCAUAAGAAACAAAACAAGUAUCAUUGAGAGAUAAUGCUAUAUUCCCAAAGUUACCAUAUAUGAAGUAUCAUGUGCAUGCAUUCCUCACAGUUGGCUGAGCCUAACAAGAAAAGGAAGAAAAAUUAAUCCAGAGAACUGUGAAUGGAAAGAAAACAAGUAAUAGUGCUGUUCUGGAACAAGUCUUGCCAGACUCUUGGAUGUUAAGAUCUGCUGAGGGGGCCCUCUUGGUGGUUCCGUCGCCCUUAGAAGCUUGGAGGUCAUGAGCUGUGAGAGGGCAUUCAGUCCCUAAGUUGUGGAGCCAUCUCCCCACAGAGGUGUGUUGGCACCAUCACUACACAGUUUUUGUUGUACGCUGAAGAUGCACCUCUUUACCUUGGCCUUUGACACUUGAGAAUUAUAUUUUUAAGACCCACCCUAUUCUGUGAUUGUAAUUGUUUUAACUGUUUUUAAAUGUAUUUUAAAUUGUUGUCACCUGCCCUGGGAGCUUAGGGUGAAGGGCUGUUAAUAAAUCAAAUUAACAACAUCAACAACAGUAAUAAUAGCAUAGAAACGUUCUUGUUUGUACCUCGACCACUGGGACUCACUUCCUUGAGUAAGGCAGUUUCAUUUCUUACUUCUGAAGUCUGUUAGUAUAACUGUAGGUUCCGAAUUUCAUUUCUUUACAUUCCCACAUGACUUCCCUUUAUGCCUUAAAAUGCUUCUGUACCAUCUCAGAUUUCUCUCCCCCACCCCCCACCCUGUCCCAGUACUUGGAAACAACAUUCAUGUAUUUAGUCUAAGUUGAUUUUGUAUAUACACACACUUUUUAAACUGAGUGGUGAGACUGUAAAAAAAAUAGCAUAAAUGUUAAAUAUUUGGAGUGUCAUUGAAACCACCUUAGUAAUUCUUCUGUUUGUGGAGCAGCUGUCUGGGUAAUGUGCUGAAAUCUUUCACUGUCACAUAGUAUCAUAAAGUCAUUUUAGCUGAACCAUUUUUUAAUUCAUUCUAGUCUGUUCCUUCUACAAAAGUGUGUAAAACCAUCCUUUGUAGGGUAAAUUUAGUGCCAUAUUAACUCAAAGAGUUAGAAUAAUAAACUUUAAAAAUGGAAAUUAAUAGGAGCUUUGGGGUUAAUGUACUGAGUUCCUUUCAGGUUAAUUGUGUGCGGACUGGAAUCCAGGAAAGUGUUUUUUUUGGGGGGGGUGCUUUCUUGCUUAACUUUGGCAUAACAUGAACUGCCCAUAUUUCAGCUGGUAUGCAGGAAGCCAAUUUCCCCAAAGAAUCCUGGGAACUGUGGUUUUUGAAGGGUGCUGAGAAUAGUUAGGAGGCCCCUAUUUGCCUCAGAGAGCUACAAUUCCCAGAGUUCCCUGGGAAGAGGGAUUGAUUGUUAAACCACUCUAGAAAUUGUAGCUCAGUGAGGGGAAUAGGGGUCUCCUAACUAUUCUCAGCACCCUUCACAAACUACAUUUACCAGGAUUCUUUGGGAGAAGCCCUGACUGUUUAAAGUGGUAUGAGACUGAUUUAAAUGUAAGGUGCUGACAGAGCCAUAUAAAUAAAUACACAUCCUCAGUGGUAAAUUCUGAAGGCACUCUUCAUGACAGCCCAAACAGACUAGAUAAGAAAAAUAAAGUUUUGACCAAUGCAGGCAUUAUGUCUUCAAUACCAAGCCAGGUUUCUAUCUCAUUGUCCCCUCCCACUUUGCUUAACAUCCAGCCUGAUGAAGAGCUCUGGUGGACUCAAAUGGUUGCUCAUUAUUUUGCGACAUUUUGGUUGGUCAUAAUUUUUUUCUGGAAUGUUUUGAAAUAAAAGUGCCAGUUUAACCUUUAGCGAUGCAUAAUAAUAUACCAUACUUCUUUCUCCUCUAAGUUUAUUUGGUGGGUUUCUCUCUUGAGAAUAGCACAUUUCUCUGGCAUACAGAGGAUUGGAAAACAGUGCCCCAGGAGGUGACAUCAUAAUCAUUCCUGCUCUGAAAGGUGGUGGUGCUUUGUCCCUUCCCAUAUCGCUGCUCCACUACACCACUAUAGAAUCUGUUCCUGUUCUGCAGACAAAGUAUAAUGGCAAUAUAGACCUCCUUUGUGUUUUUACAACUUGAAUAUGUUGGGUAAGAAUCCUUUCCUAAAAUGUGAAGAGAUGGCUUCUUUUGAGAAACAAAUGCAGCCAUUUUGGACUCUUAGAACAAAAACUCCAGCAUCCACAAAUGAGUGAUACCUUUAAUAGGGCCAACCAAAUAGUAUGCAAGUUUUUGAAUUCUACAGAACUCUUCAUCAAGUGAGAUGUUACACAAACCAGGAGUUGAGGCCGAUGAAAGGGGGAAGGGAGCAAAUUACUACCUUCAAGUCUUGACAUCUGCAUUUAGACUCACUUUGAAGAUGGAGAUUGCAGACUCAAUUUUACUAGGUGUUUGCAAGUAUCAGGUUACUGUGCAGCUGGGCAGUGGUGGCUGGUGGCUCCAGUGUUAUUGGGACAGUGAAUCCACUCUGGGUUUAGACUGAACUUUCAGGGAGCCCAGAACUGAUUCACUGCCCACUGACAUUGGAGCCCAAGUCUCUACUGCACCUAGGAUUCUAGAAUUAAGAAGCAAUGACUGAUCUCCAGUUUUGAAAACAUAAAGCCCAGCUAUUAUUAAAGAAUGGCUUUGUAUGGUUAGUAUGACUACAGUGGAACCCGCAUUAGUUGCUGCUAUCAGCAUACGACUUAUGGGGCUCUUUCAGGCAUUGUGACUGGCGUAGGAUUAUCUCUCCCCACCCCCCCAAAACCCUUUGUAUUUUUUCUCCAUCCUCAUACUAGUAUCUGAGUAAUUGCUGUCCAUGUAUUUUAAAGCCUGAACCUCAGGUGAGCACAAAGAAAGACUUUACUGGCAGAAUGUUGAUAGAACGGAUUCGGCUGUUUUUAAGGCAAGGACUAUUCGCUUUAAGAAAGAGACAGAUUAUUUUCAGCAGGGAUUUCAGCUCUUUUACUUGCCUAGAAAAGCAAAUGAAGUGUGCAGAAGGACAUACCAGUGGAUACCAUGAAUUGCUGCUAACAGAAAUCGGAGAUAAGAUAUUGCUAGAUUUUUUUCCAAAGGCAAAGACUCAAACACCACACAGAUUUCCCUUUCAGUUGAAUUAUCUUCAAAAAAAUCUAGUAUGGAAUUAAACAUUGCUUUGUUGAUUUGUUCACGCUUGUCAAAUCUGCGUUUCCAAAAAUGUCCCACUGCUCAGUAAUUAACUCAUCCACAGUAAUGUAUCCCAUAGAACUGAAAAUUGCAUUUAUGGCUAUUGCUUUUUUUUUUUUUUUUUGCAUUUUAAAAAAUUGCAAAGAAAGUGCCAGUGGCUGUGGGAAACAGGAUUUUUGAAGUCAGAACUUUCGUGUUGUUUCUCGAAUUAAGAUGUAAUGCUGGAAACAGUUGUAUGCUAACAACAUUAUUGUCCUUUAAUACAAGAAUUACCUCAUCAUGGUUAACCUUCCAGCUUGAUCUCCCCCUCUGUUUCUAUAGCUGACUACACCCUUUCAGUCAUAAUCUAUUUUAUUUUGUUCAUUCCACCCUAUCUCUUAAAAAAGCCUUACCCAUAGAAUUUCCACUUCACUAGGCUACCUUUAAGGCAGGGGUGCAGAAUCUGUGGCCUUCCAUAUGUUGGCUGACUCCAGCUCCAAUCAGUCCCAGCUAGCAUGGCCAAUGAGGGGGAAUGAUGCAGUCCCAACAGCAUCUGGAAGGCCACAGGUUCCCCAUCCCUGCUUUAAGGUACAGGUCACAGAAGGGGACAUUGCAGUCCAUCCCCACCUCUUCGCUUGUCACUGGCAUGGUUGAAAAGGAUUGGUUACAUGUGGGUGCUUCAAAAUUAUUCACACAAAAUUCGGUUGUUAUCACACACUUUCUAAUGAAAUUAACUUCAUAGUGCAAUUAUCCUGUCACUUUUCUGACUGCAAACAGUCUGAUAAGAAAAAUGAUGGAAAGUUGCUCUGGAAAGUGUGAGAAAGCAACCCCUAAUUGGCAAUGCCGACCAAUGUCUGCACAAACAUGUUAGGAUGAAAGCUCAAUGAACAGGUGAUGUUGUAUAACCUCUGCACAAGUUGUGCAAAUGUAUCAGCAUGGAAUUUCAAUAAACAGCUGGUCCAAAACCUCCCUUGGUCCCACAGUGUGGUCUGAAAACGCAUGAGGACACCACCUUGUUGAAGCUUAGCAGAUUUGGUUUUGGUCAAUGCUGUGAUAGAUGAUUGCCUGGGAACUGUAUGUCUCUCUGUCUUGGAUUUCAUGAUGGAAAAAAAGGUGGGAUAUUAUUGUAAGAGAAUGAAUAAAUAUUUGUAGUACUACAGUCUAAACCUCUUCAAAGAUGGUCUAGGAUUCUUUUCUGAAUGUUUGACAUAUGUCUUCCCCUCCAACUUAUUGUUGCUGUUUUUAAACAAAUGUAAGGGUGAUAUCCAACUAAACCAUACUUGGAGCAGACCCAUUCAAAUCAGUGGGCAAGUUACUUGUAUGUUGAUUUCAAUGGGUCUACUCUAAGUAUGACUAAUAUUAGCGAUCUUAGCCUUUUUACUUGGGGAGAUAAGGAGGGGAUGGAAUCCUAUCCUGCACUAUUCUGCCUGAGUUCUCAGCAAAAAGCAAACCUGCCCCAAAUUGGUGAGUGCCUACUGCUUUACACUUCUUGAGGAUCAUGGCUUUACCUGGUACUUCUUUUUAUUGCAGAGGAAUAGAGGUAGAACAUCCCACAAAUGCAUCAGGAAACUGCACAAUAAAUAAUACUCAGUUUGCAGAUAGGCAAAGAGCCAUUGCUUGAAUAUGCUUUUCUGAUGAUCAACGGUCUUGCUCAUGGUAUGAGCUCAAAUAUUUGGUUGAUGUGUGAUGAUACUGUGAGAAGUAAAACAAUACAUAAGGUUUAUUAUUUAUUUCACUGCAUUUCUUUCUAUUCUGAUUGUGAAAACCAUGACCAACAACUGGAAGACUGACUUCACGGACAGUCCUUGGGAAGGGGCUUUCAAUAGUUUACACAGCAUGUCAGUUAUCACAGGAAUAUCUUAUCUGGCUAUCAGAUCUCAGCUGUAAUGUGAAGCAACUCACGAUU